UACGAAGGGGGCUAGCGUUGUUCGGAAUUACUGGGCGUAAAGCGCACGUAGGCGGACAUUUAAGUCAGGGGUGAAAUCCCGGAGCUCAACUCCGGAACUGCCUUUGAUACUGGGUGUCUUGAGUGUGGAAGAGGUGAGUGGAAUUCCGAGUGUAGAGGUGAAAUUCGUAGAUAUUCGGAGGAACACCAGUGGCGAAGGCGGCUCACUGGUCCAUUACUGACGCUGAGGUGCGAAAGCGUAGGGAGCAAACAGG
rnacentral:rRNA from 1 species